AUUGAACGCUGGCGGCAUGCCUUACACAUGCUAGUCGAACGGCAGCACGGGAGCAAUCCUGGUGGCGAGUGGCGAACGGGUGAGUAAAGUAUCGGAACGUGCCCAGUCGUGGGGGAUGACGUAGCGAAAGUUACGCUAAUACCGCAUACGAUCUAUGGAUGAAAGCGGGGGAUCGCAAGACCUCGCGCGAUUGGAGCGGCCGAUAUCAGAUUAGGUAGUUGGUGGGGUAAAGGCUCACCAAGCCGACGAUCUGUAGCUGGUCUGAGAGGACGACCAGCCACACUGGGACUGAGACACGGCCCAGACUCCUACGGGAGGCAGCAGUGGGGAAUUUUGGACAAUGGGCGAAAGCCUGAUCCAGCCAUGCCGCGUGCAGGAUGAAGGCCUUCGGGUUGUAAACUGCUUUUGUACGGAACGAAAAGGUUUGGCCUAAUAAGCUGAGCUCAUGACGGUACCGUAAGAAUAAGCACCGGCUAACUACGUGCCAGCCGCCGCCGUAA
rnacentral:rRNA from 1 species